CAGCAGUGAUGAGUAUUCUACAAUGUUUGUAUAAUUCAUCGUUGUCAAAGCCAUGCUUAAUUAAUCCGUUAAAAGAGCAAGGAACAGUAUGCAGUGCGACACAAAAAGAAAAGAAAAAAACAACACCAACAAUAAUUUUUGGGCGUUCAUAGCCAUGGUUGUCAUCUGUACCGCAGGUGUAGAAUGUAAAACACAGUGGAUAGAUGUUGUGAUGGCAGCUGUAGAGAAGUACUUGGGUGUACAAUAUUUUACUGCAGAGUUAUAAUGUGUUUUGACCGAUAAUAUCCUGUCCUCCCAGGCUGCUGGCCUGGUGUUGAAUCAGAGGGUUUAGUUGGUUUUUCACAAAGUGCAAUGAAUUAAUACUACAGAAUAGUAGACUGAUACACAGCCAAUACACUUGCUGGAGGUAUGAACCUAUAACAAUUGUUUAUGGCGGACCGCCAUAAUACCAAAGAAGAAGAAGACCACUUCCUUCUCAACUGCUUCGAGGCUGCUCGGUGAAACGGAAGUAUAAGUACAUUGACAACUGCGGAGAUUGCAGUGCUGUUAAGUGCUGAUUGACAACUGCAGACUUCGGAUUGAACAUACUUUGGGUUUCACUGGUUCGCUGCACGAACAGCGCAGCGGUAAUCAGUCUGGUAUUUUAUAGGCUACACUUACUGGGCCUCAGAUAAUUAAAACUAUCUGGACUCCCGAAGAGGACGUUGUUCCAACAGACUCGUAUAGAGUUAGACGAGAACAGAUAACAGGAUUCUUGGUGAAUAGGGUGUUGAACGUUUUCCUGACUUUAAUAGAUCAGAAAUGUUGAAGAAAAAAUAGCUUCAACGAUGGAUCGGGACAGAGCUAGUCCGUCCCCCUCCACCCUGCCGGAGUCCCCUGGUCACAACUCUCCUGGUAGCACCUUACUGCUGGGUCUCAAGAGGGUUUUGUGCGGCUGGUCGACUGCAGGAAAACAACAGGGCAGAGGGAGCUGUGAGAGAAGGACACGAGGAUGGAGAUUUGAUGUCAUCAAGGGACACCCCUAACCGUCGUUCUCUCAGUGGCAGGUGCUUAUCUUCUGGGCAUCCUCAACCACAUGUUGCUGACGAGACAGAGAAGAGUCUUUCCAGAUCAGAACAUCUCAAGAAACAUCAGCAGAGGUGUACAGGGAAGAAACCUCACCACUGCUGCUCUGACUGUGGGAAGAGUUUCACAAACCGGAGUGACUUCAUUAUUCACCAGCGGAUUCACACCGGAGAGAAACCGUACUGCUGCUCACAGUGUGGGAAGAGUUUCGCCGUUUCUAACACCUUAAAAUCUCACCUGAGAAUUCAUACAGGGGAGAAGCCUUACCCCUGCCUUGAUUGUGGGAAAAGCUUUUCAUAUUUGGGAGCCCUAAACAUACACAAGCUAACACACACUGGAGUGAAGCCUUAUAGCUGUGAUCAAUGUGGGAAGAGCUAUGCUGUAUCAGAUGCCCUAACUAUACCACCAGUGCA